rnacentral:SRP_RNA from 1 species
GCUGGACAUGGUAGCUAUGUAGUCCCAGCUACUUGGGAGGCUGAAGCAGGAGGAUGGCUUGAGCCCAGGAGUACUAAGCUGUCAUGUGCUAUGCCUAUCAGUUGUCUACACUACGUUCGGCGUCAGUAUGGUAACUCCCAGCAGUAGGGACCACUAAGUUGGCUAAAGAGAAAUGAACGGCCCAAGUUGAAAGUGGAGCAGGUCAAAACUCCCGUGCUGAUCAAUAGUGAGAUCACAGCUGUGAAUAGCCACUACACUCCAGCCUGGCCAACAUAGUGAGAACCUGCCUCU